UACGAAGGGGGCUAGCGUUGCUCGGAAUCACUGGGCGUAAAGCGCACGUAGGCGGCUUUUUAAGUCGGUGGUGAAAUCCUGGAGCUCAACUCCAGAACUGCCUCCGAUACUGAAAGGCUCGAGUCCGGGAGAGGCGAGUGGAACUGCGAGUGUAGAGGUGAAAUUCGUAGAUAUUCGCAAGAACACCAGUGGCGAAGGCGGCUCACUGGCCCGGUACUGACGCUGAGGUGCGAAAGCGUGGGGAGCAAACAGG
rnacentral:rRNA from 1 species